AUCACUAAAGAAAUUGUAUUAACUGUUUGUCAAAUUUUCACCGAAAGUAGAGACUGUUGCACUUUGUUGUGUCUAUUAAAUACACAUAUAUUAAACGUAAACAUAUCUUUUUCCCGUUAUUAGUGGACAUUUAUAUUAUCUUUCGGUUCCCUCUGGAUCAAAUUAAUUCAAACUCUAAAAUUAAAAUAGUUUUGUAGAUGAAUUGUUAAUAGCGAUGUGUGAAAGUGAGUUAUACGAUUUGGGAUAAACUUUAACAUGAAUUUAACUAUGUUGUUGGGAGUGAAUGGUGUUAUUUUAACUUUGUACACUUCUCAGACUUCUUAAAUAAAGUCAGUUGG